CCUACGGGCGGCAGCAGUGAGGAAUAUUGGUCAAUGGUCGGGAGACUGAACCAGCCAAGCCGCGUGAGGGAGGAAGGUACAGAGUAUCGUAAACCUCUUUUGUCAGGGAACAAAGGCGGGGACGUGUCCCCGGAUGAGUGUACCUGAAGAAAAAGCAUCGGCUAACUCCGUGCCAGCAGCCGCGGUAAUACGGGGGAAGCGAGCGUUAUCCGGUUUUAUUGGGUUUAAAGGGUGCGCAGGCGGUCUGUAAAGUCAGCGGUCAAACCCCGGGGCUCAACCCCGGCCCGCCGUUGAAACUGGCAGUCUCGAGUUGGAGAGAAGUAUGCGGAAUGCGCGGUGUAGCGGUGAAAUGCAUAGAUAUCGCGCAGAACUCCGAUUGCGAAGGCAGCAUGCCGGCUCCACACUGACGCUGAGGCACGAAAGCGUGGGUAUCGAACAGGAUUAGAUACCCUGGUAGUC
rnacentral:rRNA from 1 species